CGGGUCCCCAUGUCCCGGGUCCCCCGUGUUCCCGUGUCCCCGCGUCCCCGCAUCCCCGCUGGGGCGUCCCGGGACCGGCCUCGAUAGCCUCGGGGCAGAGCACCGCCAGCCCAGAGGCUUCCUGAUCCGGGACCGCGAGCAGGGCGCCGGCCCAGGUCCCCCCUGCGCUGUCGCAGCUGCCCAAGCUCGCCAGGACGGCUGCGCGCAGGACCUUCUCCAGAACCGGGUCCUUACCUGUGUCCUGGCUUGUGUCGGUCACGCACGCUCAGCGUCCCCACUGCUCUCGAGGCCUUCACGGAAAGAUUUCACGCAGACAGAACACGGGAGCAUUUCUCUGGAAGGAAACCCUUCGCCGCUGUGAUGCCGCCCAGGCGUGGAAACCAAAUGAAACCAUAUAAAGAGCAGAUCGGCCUACUGUCUGGUGGCGGAGAGAAUUUCUGGGAAAAACUUCUAAUGCACUGAAAGUCUUGCUGACUUUGGGUUGGGGUUUUCUUGGGCCUGUUUUACCCGCGGAAAGCCCUUGCCCGCAGGUCACUACUUACAGCGACUCGGGUGGCUGUCGCUCAAGGGCGGUCGUUGGAAAACGCUUCCGGUGCAUAACCGAAACAACUCAACAGGGGAGAGUUGAACGCUCAUCGCUACGUCAUUUGUUAAAGGCACAUGCGAGUAACGGUUGUCAACAUGUGGCCGGUUCUGUCCUCAUAGGACGGUCGCCCCCCUCCUAACGUGGAAACAAACUCAAUCCCCACAGCCAUGGGCUGGGGCCCUGGACACAGGACCAGGUCUCUCUGUCUCCACCUGCUGGGCUGAUACUGCCUCCGCCUUGCCUCCCCGUCAGCCUGGAGAUCUUGGGGCAAGUCUCCUGGGAGCCAGCUCUUUGUCCCCAGGUGAGCACAGACCAGGCAGAGCCGGCUGGUGCUGGGGAGAGCCUCCCUCCCUGGCCUCUGCCCAAACCCCACCCCACCCCCACCCAGGGCCCCUCAGGCAGUCCCCGGCUUCCCCCACCUUCCAAGGGAGGCCCUUCUGUCUGUGGCACACAAGUGAGGGGGUGUCUUCAAGAAAUGUCUCAGGAAAUGCAGGGAUUCCUUGGCCAUUCCCGAUCCACUCUGGUGCUGGAACCGGGCCGGCCUUGCUCAGGGUCAGGGCUGCCUGGGCAGUGCACUUGGAGCCUGCCCCCACCAGCCUCCUGGGGCCGGCGGGGGGUGGGGGGGGUGGAGACCCAAAAUUCAAGGGCAGAUGAAGCGGGGAGCCUGCCAGGGAGCCUCAGACUGCGUCCCAUGUCUCUCGUGCCCCCUCCUGUGCCUGGGACCCCUGCACCCCUGCCUCCGCUCCGAACCCCUCCAGACCCCUUUCCUCUUGGGAGGUUUUCCACCUGGGAAUCAUGACAUAUCACUCCCUUUGUCCUUUGAUAAACUUUUGUCACCGGGACCUGAGGGAAGGCCCUUCUGUGUCCAACGCCCCUUCCCCUUUCUGCCCACGGCCCCUGCCAGGCACCACCCUCAGCAGCCCCACUCGGCCCAGCAUCCGUCCCAGGAACCCAGCCCCUGACACACCCCCUGGGGCCCUGGCCCCAGCCUCCCACAGGCCUGGGAGGGGCCCACUCCGUGGUCUCCAGGCCCUUGGCUCCUCGGUCUCCCAGACUCGGUUCAAGUGUCCCUUCCUCAUGGAAGCCUCUACCCUCCCCUGCGCCUGAGCCCCUCCCCACGGCUGCUCACAGGGAAGUCAGAAACCAGCUCAAGCCCAGCGAAAAGGACAACGCAGCAGAGUGGGGUGUGAGGGGUGCGGGGAAAGCAGGGCCGAGGGGGUGCUGUGCGGUGAGGGCCGCGUGAAAACCCGGGAGCCAGGCCGCCAGCGGACCUGACUUCAGGAGUGAGAAGUACAGCCCAGGUUCAGGGUCAGGAGAAGGGAGGAGGUACACACGGAGGAUGGAAAAAUAGGGGAAAACCGGGACGUGGAACCUACAGUUGGCUCCUUCGAAGAGCAGCACACUUGACAGACGCUUGACUAGAUGCGCUCAGAAAAACGGACUCAAAUUAGAAAAGGAGGCAUGAGAGUGGGGGCAUCGGCACCGACCCCACAGAAACAAGGGGCCGUGGGAGGUCUGGGAGGAGCACGCGUAGGCCAACGAGGACGACCCUCGCGGGAAGGACAGAAGGCGCAGCCGGUGCAGGAAGCCGUCCUGAGAGGUUUUCUUAGAGUUUCCACCAGUGGGAGCAGUUACACCACCGAUGGGACGUGAAGGAAGAGAGAGGCGACAGGAUCCUGGCAACUGGAGCAGGCACUCGGUCCCCGCGAGGUGACGGCCUGGGAGCCGCGCAGGGUGUCUCUGGACUAGACGGAGCACGUGUGUUCCUGACGGCGAGGCUCCCGAGCCACAGCGAGGCU
ensembl:lncRNA